rnacentral:rRNA from 1 species
AGCGAACGCUGGCGGCAGGCCUAAUACAUGCAAGUCGAGCGCACCUUCGGGUGAGCGGCGGACGGGUGAGUAACGCGUGGGAACGUGCCCUUUGGUACGGAACAACUGAGGGAAACUUCAGCUAAUACCGUAUGUGCCCUUCGGGGGAAAGAUUUAUCGCCAUUGGAGCGGCCCGCGUUGGAUUAGGUAGUUGGUGAGGUAAAGGCUCACCAAGCCUACGAUCCAUAGCUGGUCUGAGAGGAUGAUCAGCCACACUGGGACUGAGACACGGCCCAGACUCCUACGGGAGGCAGCAGUAGGGAAUCUUGCGCAAUGGGCAAAGCCUGACGCAGCCAUGCCGCGUGAAUGAUGAAGGUCUUAGGAUUGUAAAAUUCUUUCACCGGGGACGAUAAUGACGGUACCCGGAGAAGAAGCCCCGGCUAACUUCGUGCCAGCAGCCGCGGUAAU